UACGUAGGGGGCUAGCGUUGUCCGGAUUUAUUGGGCGUAAAGAGCGUGUAGGCGGCCAGGUAGGUCUGCUGUGAAAACUCGAGGCUCAACCUCGAGCUGUCGGUGGAAACUGUCUGGCUAGAGUCCGGAAGAGGAGAGUGGAAUUCCUGGUGUAGCGGUGAAAUGCGCAGAUAUCAGGAAGAACACCUAUGGCGAAGGCAGCUCUCUGGGACGGUACUGACGCUGAGACGCGAAAGCGUGGGGAGCGAACAGG
rnacentral:rRNA from 1 species